AUGGCCACAUCAUGUUGAAACAUUGAUUCCUAUAUGAUCACCAAACUUAAGCAACAAUGAGCCUGGUUAGUAUGUAGAUGGGUGACCACUUGGAAAUACCAGGUGCUGUAAG